GCAUAUCAAUAAGCGGAGGAAAAGAAACUAACAAGGAUUCCCCUAGUAACUGCGAGUGAAGCGGGAAAAGCUCAAAUUUAAAAUCUGGUGGUCUUUGGCCAUCCGAGUUGUAAUCUAGAGAAGUGUUAUCCGCGCUGGACCGUGUACAAGUCCCCUGGAAUGGGGCGUCAUAGAGGGUGAGAAUCCCGUCUUUGACACGGACUACCAGGGCUUUGUGAUGCACUCUCAAAGAGUCGAGUUGUUUGGGAAUGCAGCUCAAAAUGGGUGGUAAAUUCCAUCUAAAGCUAAAUAUUGGCGAGAGACCGAUAGCGAACAAGUACCGUGAGGGAAAGAUGAAAUGAACUUUGGAAAGAGAGUUAAACAGUACGUGAAAUUGUUGAAAGGGAAACGCUUGAAGUCAGUCGCGUCUGCCAGGGAUCAACCUUACUUUUGUGAGGCGUACUUCCUGGUUGAUGGGUCAGCAUCAGUUUUGGUCGCUGGAUAAAGGUCAGAGAAAUGUGGCACCUUCGGGUGUGUUAUAGUCUUUGAUCAGAUACAGUGGCUGGGACUGAGGAACUCAGCGCCGCAAGGCUGUCUUAGGAUGCUGGCAAAAUGGCUUUAAUCGACCCGUCUUGAAACACGGACC
rnacentral:rRNA from 1 species